UACGGAGGGGCCUAGCGUUGUUCGGAAUUACUGGGCGUAAAGCGCACGUAGGCGGCUUUGUAAGUCAGGGGUGAAAUCCCGGGGCUCAACCUCGGAACUGCCUUUGAUACUGCAAAUCUCGAGUCCGGAAGAGGUGAGUGGAAUUCCUAGUGUAGAGGUGAAAUUCGUAGAUAUUAGGAAGAACACCAGUGGCGAAGGCGGCUCACUGGACCGGUACUGACGCUGAGGUGCGAAAGCGUGGGGAGCAAACAGG
rnacentral:rRNA from 1 species